CUUCGGAUCUCCGCGACAGGAUUUUCCAUUUUAAUGAGAAUUUAGUCCCGCUUAAGCAACUAAUUCUUAACAACCAGUAUCCACCAGGCUUGACUGGAAAUCAAAGGAGAAUUUUGAGAAGACAGAGGGAACAUCACAUGAUAAAAGAUAUCAACUUGUACAACUUGCCAGACUUUUGAGGUUGUAAAGACACAAGCUCCCACACUUAAACAAAUUAAGGUGUCUCAACCCAUGGAAGUCGUAGGCAUGGAUCUUAUUGGACCACUGGCGAUGACCAAGAGUGGGAGUCAGUACGUAUUGACAAUUGUGGAUUACUUCACCAAAUAUGUACUGUUGUUCCUCUUCCAAGAAAGGAUGGGACAGGUGUCAACAAUUGCAUCAAGCAGUACAUAAGCAUAUUGGGAGCACCAAAACGCCUCAUCUCUGAUCAAGGGAAGGAGUUUUGUAAUAAGAUCAACAAUGAAUAAUGAAGGCAAGGAUGUUGUCGGGCCCAGUGAAUUUACUUGUCAAGUCCUUCUGUAAUGCCAGGAUUCCCCCUCUCCUCCCCAUACUGUUAAUGGUAAUGUUGAGGGGGGCUGUUGGAAGAAGGGGCUGUGUGGCAUGGUUGGUGUCUGGUAGUGUUCUUGGGUGCACACUAAUUGGAACGGUGUUGUGGGCUGGUUACUACUGUGAUAUUGUUGUCUUUCUGUGAUAUAAUAGUGUUGGUAGCAUAUUUGCAUGCCCUAAAGAAUUUGAAAAAAUGUUUAUGUUGUUACUUAAAUUGUCUGCGAGGAAGGUUGCUAUGUGUUUGUGUUCGGCAAAUUUUAUGUUUUUGUUAAGUGUUUUUUGGGGGGCCAUCUAAUUAUCUGUUGUGUUGUAUGUCUGUAUCUGUAGCUUUUUUAUUAUUAUAAUUAGUAGUAGUAGUAGUAGUAGUAGUAGUAGGUAGAUAGUAAAUUAAUACACAAUUGUGUAAAUAACUAUAUGUAAUUUACCAAAUAUAUAUUUAUGCAAGAAAUUUUGGAGCCUUCUUUGACCCUUAAAUUAAUUAUGGAUGGUUGUUAGACUACCAAAGGAAUAUCUUGUAACAUGAAGAACUAGAGAACUAGAGAGCAUGAAGAACUGGGGUCUUCCUUAAGCCCUUGGGAGGGAAGGAAGGGGAAAAACGUGUACCAAGGUAAGUAAGAUCUUGCAGCAUGAACUGGGGUCUUCCUCCGAGCGCUUGGGAGGGGAAGAAGGGCACAGACCUGUUACCAAGGUAAGGAAUCAAAAUCAUGCUAUAUGAAGAACUGAGGACUUCCUCAGAGCCCUUGGGAGGGGAGGAAUUAUGUGAAAAUAUGUACCAGGGGGGAUCUUAUAACAAAUGAUGUCCUUAGAAGAGAAGAAAAUAUAAAUGGAUAGCUCUCUGGGACCUAUUACAUUCUUAAAUAGCCAUUUUUCCAGCAAGAUACUUGAUUCCUGUAGACAAUCAAACCUCACCCAUAGCACAGUGUACCGCAAUGUAAUUCUGAUAACCUGAGUUGUUAUACAGAAGGGUCAUAUGUAGUAGACCCCACAUAAUUAUAAGAGAAAGCAAUCUGCUUUGGGGGGGGGGGUAAGCUAUUUAUAUAGCACCACCCCUCACUUUUUUUUAGAUCAUCUUCAAAAUUCCCUUAAAGGGCUUAUAUAAAGAAAAAUAAAAAGCACAUAUGCAUGG